rnacentral:rRNA from 1 species
GAGUUUGAUUAUGGCUCAGGAUGAACGCUGGCGGCGUGCGUAACACAUGCAAGUUGGACGACGGUGCUAUGAAGUGGUAACACGGAAUGGUAUACGGAGUAGCGGACGGGUGAGUAAAGCAUGAGGAGCUGUCCUGUUGAGGGGGAUAACGUUCGGAAACGGACCCUAAUACCCCAUAGGCCGAGAGGUUAAAGGCAGAGAUGCGCGACAGGAGGUACUCGUGUCCUAUCAGCUGGUUGGUGAGGUAACGGCUCACCAAGGCGACGACGGGUAGCCGGCCUGAGAGGGUGACCGGCCACACUGGAACUGAGACACGGUCCAGACUCCUACGGGAGGCAGCAGUGGGGAAUAUUGGGCAAUGGGAGGAAUCCUGACCCAGCGACGCCGCGUGAACGAAGACGGCCUUCGGGUUGUAAAGUUCUUUUAUGUGGGAAGAAGGAAGUGA